rnacentral:rRNA from 1 species
AUUGAACGCUGGCGGCAUGCUUUACACAUGCAAGUCGAACGGCAGCGGGUCCUUCGGGAUGCCGGCGAGUGGCGAACGGGUGAGUAAUGCAUCGGAACGUACCGUGUAAUGGGGGAGUAACGUAGCGAAAGUUACGCUAAUACCGCAUAUUCUGUGAGCAGGAAAGCAGGGGAUCGCAAGACCUUGCGCUGAUUGAGCGGCCGAUAUCAGAUUAGCUAGUUGGUGAGGUAAAGGCUCACCAAGGCGACGAUCUGUAGCGGGUCUGAGAGGAUGAUCCGCCACACUGGAACUGAGACACGGUCCAGACUCCUACGGGAGGCAGCAGUAAGGAAUAUUGGACAAUGGCCGCAAGGCUGAUCCAGCCAUGCCGCGUGCAGGAAGACGGACCUAUGGUUUGUAAACUGCUUUUG